rnacentral:rRNA from 1 species
GAGAGUUAAAUAGUACGUGAAAUUGUUGAAAGGGAAACGAUUGAAGUCAGUCAUGCUAGUGAAAAAUCAGUUUGACGGGUUUUGAGUUCAGGAGUAGAGGCAGGGUCAAACCGUUUCUCUUUUGGACUUGGGAUUUGUUAGAUGUACUUUUUCUUUGGCAGGUCAGCGUCGAUUUCGGAGGUUGUAAAAUACUUGGGGGAAAGUAACUCUGCUUCGGGAGAGUAUUAUAGACCCUGGGGGAUGCAGCCUGCGGGAUCGAGGAUUGCAGCAAAUGCCUUUGGCUUGUCGCCUGAUCUCUGGACGUCAUCUCGCUUGUAUCAACAUUCUUGGUACCGGUGAGUAAUGGUGCUCAUAGGUUAGAGCGAUCAAAAAUUUUGCUAAGGAUGCUGACGUAAUGGCUUUAAACGA